rnacentral:rRNA from 1 species
UUUUUAUGGCUGUUCGUCAGCUCGUUUCGGGAGAUGUGGGGUUAAGUCCCGCAACGAGCGCACCCCCUCCAAUUAGUUACUAACAGGUUAAGCUGAGGACUAUAAUUGAACCGCCUACGCAAGUAGAGAGGAAGGAGGGGAUGACGUCAAGUCCUCAUGGCCCUUACCCCUAGGGCCACACACGUGAUACAAUGGCGACUACAGAGGGCAAAGCCGCGAGGCAGAGGAAAUCCCUUAAAAGUCGUCUCAGUCCGGAUCGGAGUCUGCAACUGGACUCCGUGAAGUGGGAAUCGCUGAAAUCGCGGAUCAGCAUGCCGCGGGAUUGUUCUGGGGGCCAAUGAUCUUUAU